GACGAACGCUGGCGGCGUGCUUAACACAUGCAAGUCGAACGAUGAAGAAGAGAAACGCGAACUUCGGUUCCAAUUUCACUUCGGAUUAGUGGCAGACGGGUGAGUAACGCGUGAGCAACCUACCUCUUACAAAGGGAUAGCCUCGUGAAACCGUGAUUAAUACCAUAUGACACAUUCAUAAUGCAUCUUAAGAAUGUUAAAGCUACGGCGGUAAGAGAUGGGCUCGCGUACCAUUAGCUAGUUGUUGAGGUAACGGCCCGCCAAGGCGACGAUGGGUACCCGGACUGAGAGGGUGAACGGUCACACUGGAACUGAGACACGGUCCAAACUGCUAGGAGAAGCAGCAGUGAGGGAUAUAGCAGCAUGGAGCGAAUGCAGAUGCAGCGACGCCGGGAGAGCGAUGUAGGAAUUCGAUUCGUAAAGCUGUGUGCUAUGGGAAGAAAAUGACUGUACCAGAGGAGAAAGCACCGGCUAAAUACGUG
rnacentral:rRNA from 1 species